GACAAACGGUCGCUGCUGCAAGUGUCGAAAGACCGCAGGAGAGGAAAGUCCGGGCUUCACAGGGCAGGAUGCCGGAUAACGUCCGGUGGAGGCGACUCCAAGGCCAGUGCAACAGAAAUGUACCGCCCGGACAAAGUGCGAAAGCAUUUUGUCCGGGUAAGGGUGGAAGGGCAGUGUAAGAGACUACCGCCCCUCUGGUAACAGAGGGGGCACAUGUAAACCCCAUCCGAAGCAAAACCGAACGAAAACGAUGUGGCGGCCCGUCACGUUUUAGGUAGGUUGCUUGAGCCUGCUGGUAACAACAGGCCUAGAUAGAUGACCGUUCAACGACAUAACCCGGCUUAUCGUCUUGCUUC
rnacentral:RNase_P_RNA from 1 species